GAUGAAGAACGCAGCGAAAUGCGAUAAGUAGUGUGAAUUGCAGAAUUCAGUGAAUCAUCGAAUCUUUGAACGCACAUUGCGCCCCUUGGUAUUCCAUGGGGCAUGCCUGUUCGAGCGUCAUUUACACCCUCAAGCUCUGCUUGGUGUUGGGCGUCUGUCCCGCUUCGCGCGCGGACUCGCCCCAAACGUAUUGGCAGCGGUCUUUUGCCAGCUUCUCGCGCAGCACAUUGCGUUUCUUGAGGCUUCGGCGGAUCGGCGUCCAUCAAGACUCCACCAGUUUGACCUCGGAUCAGGUAGGGAUACCCGCUGAACUUAAGCAUAUCAAUAAGCGGAGGA
rnacentral:misc_RNA from 1 species